AAAGAUAGUUUUGCCCCUCGGAAUUUGAGAAAUUCCAGUUUCUGUCUUUUGUCCAAAUUACGAAAAUACCCCUAUAAAUUCAGAAAUUCCUUUUAUGUCCCUGAUUUCAUAAAAUAUUAAUUAAUUAAAAGGUUUAGUUGAUUAUUAUUUUUAUUAUUAUCUAGUAGUCUUACAUGAUGAUGAUUAUUUAUACAUGUGAUGUAUCAUGUGUGGACGGAUGAUCAUGGACCGUGUGAUGUGUGUACUUGUGAUUAUUAUUAUUGAGGUCUGCAAGCCUCCAUUAUAUUU
rnacentral:lncRNA from 1 species